CGGUUGACGUGGCAGUCAGGCAACUGUAAGCGUCCACAGUGAGAGUGGAAUAAUGAAAGAAGAAAGACGGAAAGAAACAACAUAGACAAACAUUAAUGACUGAGGAGGAGGCUGGCUCCGGCUAGUCAAUAUACUACACUGCCAUCUACAUUCUUGAUGAGAGUUGAAACUACAAGCCCACUCUCACUGAGUGGGUACGAGGAGUAAUGAGUAAAAACUUGAGGUCUCUAGUACUAGCAUAUAGGAAUAUACAACACAGUUGUUCGC
rnacentral:sRNA from 1 species